UUGAAAAAGCCUAAAAAGGGUGCUCAUUAAAAUGUACCCAUGUUUAUUAGACAAUUCUCUAAAGUUAAAGAUAUAAUAGGUCCAUCAAAAGGAACUUUUCAGAGUCCUUAAAAAUUGCUCCUCCAUAUCUAAGCAGUAACAAGCAAUAACCAAAUAAAGUGAAACUUUGCUCUCUCUCUCCCUCAAUUGCUACAUAUCCAAAAUACACAAUUAGAAUGGAAUAAAAUUGGCACAUACCCAUCUGGAAAAACAUUGCCCCUAACGGG
rnacentral:misc_RNA from 1 species